CCUACGGGUGGCAGCAGUGAGGAAUAUUGGUCAAUGGGCGCGAGCCUGAACCAGCCAAGUCGCGUGAGGGAAGACGGUCCUAUGGAUUGUAAACCUCUUUUGUCGGGGAGCAAAAGACGCCACGCGUGGCGUUCCGAGAGUACACGAAGAAAAAGCAUCGGCUAACUCCGUGCCAGCAGCCGCGGUAAUACGGAGGAUGCGAGCGUUAUCCGGAUGUAUUGGGUUAAAAGGGUGCGCAGGCGGAAGAUCGAGGCAGCGGUAAAAUUGAGAGGCUCAACCUCUUCGAGCCGUUGAAACUGGUUUUCUUGAGUGAGUGAGAAGUAUGCGGAAUGCGUGGUGUAGCGGUGAAAUGCAUAGAUAUCACGCAGAACUCCGAUUGCGAAGGCAGCAUACCGGCGCUCAACUGACGCUCAUGCACGAAAGUGUGGGUAUCGAACAGGAUUAGAUACCCCUGUAGUC
rnacentral:rRNA from 1 species